AACAUGAAACAUGCUGGGAACACCAGUGAGGUGUAACUGAAAAAUGUGGCAAAUAGGAAGCUACUGACUGUCCUAAGGAUUCUUACAACCACGAGGACCAUGAAAGCAGUGGGAGAGGUGGAGAGAUGAAUCACAAGGUCAGCAGCAUUG